rnacentral:rRNA from 1 species
CAGCCGCCGCGGUAAUACGGAGGGUGCAAGCGUUAAUCGGAAUUACUGGGCGUAAAGCGCACGCAGGCGGUCUGACAAGUCAGAUGUGAAAUCCCCGGGCUUAACCUGGGAACUGCAUUUGAAACUGUCAGGCUGGAGUCUUGUAGAGGGGGGUGGAAUUCCAGGUGUAGCGGUGAAAUGCGUAGAGAUCUGGAGGAAUACCGGUGGCGAAGGCGGCCCCCUGGACAAAGACUGACGCUCAGGUGCGAAAGCGUGGGGAGCAAACAGGAUUAGAUACCCCAGUAGUCCUGUCUCUUAUACA